rnacentral:ncRNA from 1 species
CGAGGGGUGUCCCGUGAGGGCUGAGAUGGCGCAAGCCGAACCCUUUGAACCUGAUCUGGGUCAUGCCAGCGAAGGGACGGGUC